rnacentral:rRNA from 1 species
UCGAGAAUCUUCCGCAAUGGACGAAAGUCUGACGGAGCGACGCCGCGUGGUGGAUGAAGUCCUUAGGGACGUAAACACCUUUUAUGAGUGAAGAAGUUUAUUGACAUUAGCUCAUGAAUAAGGGGCUCCCAACUCUGUGCCAGCAGGAGCGGUAAUACAGAGGCCCCAAGCGUUAUCCGGAUUCACUGGGCGUAAAGGGUGCGUAGGCGGUUAUAUUAGUCGGGUGUAAAAUCUUUGGGCUCAACCCAAAGCUCGCAUUCGAAACGGUAUAACUAGAAGAAGUCAGAGGUAAGCAGAACUCUCGGUGUAGGGGUGAAAUCCGUUGAUAUCGAGGGGAAUACCAAAUGCGAAGGCAGCUUACUGGGACUUUCUUGACGCUGAGGCACGAAAGCGUGGGUAGCGAACGGGAUUAGAUACCCCCGUAGUCC